UACGAGGGGGGCGAACGUUAUCCGGAAUUAUUGGGCGUAAAGGGUGCGUAGGCGGCCUGACAAGUCUGAUGUGAAAUCCCUGGGCUCAACCCAGGGCCUGCAUCGGAAACUGUCGGGCUUGAGUAUGGGAGAGGUGAGUGGAAUUUCCGGUGUAGCGGUGAAAUGCGUAGAUAUCGGAAGGAACACCUGUGGCGAAAGCGGCUCACUGGACCAUUACUGACGCUGAGGCACGAAAGCUAGGGGAGCAAACAGG
rnacentral:rRNA from 1 species